AUUGAACGCUGGCGGCAGGCCUAACACAUGCAAGUCGAGCGGAGAGUCGAACGGGGGUGUAACACGUGGGUGAACUGGCUCGAACUUCGGGAAAAGCUUGGGAAAAUGGGUCGAAUAUCGGAUAGUGCAAGGUGAGCUCGCGGACUAUCAGCUUGUUGGUGGGGUAUUGGCCUACCAAGGCGCCGACGGGUAGCCGGCCUGCGAGGGUGGACGGCCACAUGGGGACUCAGGUACGGCCCAGACGCAUACUGGAGGCAGCAGUGGGGAAUAUUGCGCAAUGGGCGGAAGCCUGAUGCAGCGACGCCGCGUGGGGGAUGAAGGCCUUCGGGUUGUAAACUCCUUUCGACAGGGACGCGGUACCUGUAUAAGAAGCACCGGCUAACUACGUGCCAGCAGCCGCGGUAAUAC
rnacentral:rRNA from 1 species